GUGAACGCCAAACCAGCUGACGUCGAACGAAAAAGAGAGCGAGAGAGCAAACAGCUGAGAGCGGUAAAAGCGGAAGGGGCGUACGGGGAAUUCCGCUUCCGAUGCCCUUAAACGAUGAAGAAUGAAACACAGACUAAAAUCGGACAACAACAAAAGGUGCCGAAAAGAACCAGUCUAUGCACAACUGGUUCCGAAGACCAGCGCACAGAUUGCAAACAAGCGGCAUGUGCAAUAGAGAUUGGCGCGUGAUUCCAGUUGCCAUGUACUGAUUUCGUGCGUCGAGAAGAGAUUUAUUUUGGGCUUAUCCAAACAUAAGUUAUUCAUUAUGAUUUAGUUAUGGUUUCAUUAAAGUGUGUUUUUUAAACCUUC
rnacentral:sRNA from 1 species